ACGCUCGACACCUACGGGAGUCAGCAGUGGGGAAUAUUGCACAAUGGGGGAAACCCUGAUGCAGCGACGCCGCGUGGAGGAAGAAGGUCUUCGGAUUGUAAACUCCUGUUGUUGGGGAAAAAGNGGAUGGUACCCAACAAGGAAGUGACGGCUAACUACGUCGACNNNGCGNGUAUNGNGGCGGCGUGACGAG
rnacentral:rRNA from 1 species